CGACUUCCGCGGCUCUCUCCGCCAGACUGACUCUCUUCGCCAGCGCGCCUGGGCUAGAGGCGGGGGAGCAUUGUGCGCUGGCGGCGCGCGCUUCCAAGUUGCUGGGAGACAGCGAGCGAAUGGCAGCUCGGGGCUUGCGGCUCAGGCCCCUCCCUGGCCGCGGUGGCCCCUCCCAGCCAGCUCGGCCAGCGUGGCCGCCGCGGGCACCAGGUACUCAGCACGAGACUCGUUGGUGAGACAGCGAAAAAGGAAAAGGAAAAGAAAAUAAUUGAAGUCUUUCAUAAAUGUCAUUUGGUAUAAUGUGAACUUUUUUUUUAUUCUUUUUUUUUUUAUUAAGAUAUCAUUGAUAUACACUGCUCUGAAGGUUUCACAAGAGAAACAAUAGAAAGAAGAGGCCACGUCAAGAUAGAGGCAGAGAUUGGAGGGAUGCAGCCACAAGCUGAAGAAUGUCUGGGACCACCAGAAGCUGGAAGAGGCAAGGAAGAUUUCUCCCCUAGAGCCUUCAGAGGGAGUACAGCCCUAGCAGCACCUUGAUUUAAGACUGAAGACCUCCAGAAAAAUGAGAGGCUUACACACAUCAAGUAAUUCUUAUGAAGACACACAUCACAGUUUUCAGUCUGGGAAAGCAGAAUGGCGCGGACCAGGUUCCAGGGCAGACACCAGUGGAAACACUAAGGCCCCACCAAUGAAUGACCCAGCUCAUUCCAGCUUCAUGCCACCCCACAGUGAGUUACUUGAGAGCUGGGGGGCAUGGGCAGAGCCUAUCUGGACAUGUAGUGGUAGGUCUCCUUCUAGAUACUUCAGUUAAAUUGCUCACAGCCUAACUUUAUUGCUGUCGGCAGUGGUGUUUUCCUGUCAUGAUGAAUGAUCUGCACGGUUCCUGCUUUCAAGGAAGAGCUGACACGGUGUGUGAUGUAGUAGCUGAUUUCUUGUUCUUUGGACCAUCCAGCUGUGUUUCUAACAGAUACAGUUUCUCCAGGGCUCUGGGAAAUUGGAGGAGGGGGACCUGCCUUCACCCCCACCUCCAUUCCUCUAAACCAUCCAUUUGCCUUCCAGACCCUAACCUAAGCUAAACAUUCUGUACCUUCUCCAAAGUCCAAAUGAAACUUACCAACGCAUCAGUAUCUUUGUCUGCUCAGGUUGCUGUAAGAAAAUACCACAGACUGUGUGUCUUAUAAACAACAGAAAUUUAUUGCUCACCAUUCUGGAAGCUGAGAGUCCAAGAUCAGGGUGCCAGCAUGUUCAAGUGAAGGCCCUCUUCGGGGUUGCAAACUUUGCUGUGUCCUCACAUAGCAGAAAAAGAAGGGAUCCCUGUGGAGCCUCUUUUAUCUUCAUUUUCUCAGUACAUCCUCUCUACCUCCCACAGCAGCAUUGACCUCACUGCCUGGGUCCUUGUGUACUAUGUAAAUAUUAUUGUCUCCCCACCAAAAUGAUGAGCAAUCUUAAGGCAGAAGAGACUGUUUAUUUUUCUUGGACUCUUCUGCAUCAAUGUUACAAACCAAAAUUUUGGGCACAUGGAAUGGUAGGCUGAAUGAUGGCCCUCCAAAGAUGUCCACAUUUUAAUCCCUGGAAAUCUGUGAAUAUCACUUUACAUGGCAAAUAGGACUUGGCCAGUGAGUUUGCGCAUUGAAUUAAAGAUCUGGAGAUGAAGAGAUUAUCACGGGCUAUCCAGAUGGGUCCGAUGCAAUCACAAGGGUAUGUAUAAGUGGGAGGCAAGAGGAGAGGUGACAACCUGAGCAGAGGUUGGAGUGCUGUGGGGCCGUAAGCCAAGAAAUGUGGGCAGCCUUU